UUUUUUUUUUUUUUUUAAAUGCACCCACAGCACAUGGAUGUUCCCAGGCUAGGCGUGGAAUCGAUGCUGUUGCUGCAGGCCAAGACGAGUCUGCAACCUACACAGCUCAUGGCAACACCAAUCCGUAAUCCACGGAGCAAGGCCAGGGACUGAAUGUGCAUCCUCAUGGAUACCAGUCAGGUUCAUUACCCCCAAGCCGCAACGGCAACUCCCAAGACCUAAGUUAUAAACUCACUUGGGUUAACGCUAAGGGCGGGAGUGCCGGACCCUAUGGGAAGGGUGCGUUUACCUUGAGAGACCUUGAGAGACGCUGGCUGCAGUACAGCCAAGGGGCUGCACCGUUUUGCAUGCCCAGCAGCAGCGAGUGAGCGUUCCUGCUGCUCCACAUCCUCACCAGCAGGUGGCGAUGUCAGUGGUUUGGGGUUUAGCCACCCUCACAGGUGCGUAGUGAUCCUGUUGUAGCUUGCAGUUCCUUAGCGACACGUGGAACAUCAUUUCAUACGCUUAUUUGCUGUCUGCUUAUCUUCUUGGGUGAGCUACCUACCAGAUCUUCUGCCCAUUUAUUACUUUGACUGUAUUCUUAUCAUUGAAUUUUAAGGAUUCAUCGUCCAGUUGAGAGAUCCACGCCAAACAGCCAUGGACCAACAAGCACACAAAGACAUGCUCAACCUAACAGCAGUCACAACGCAUCCGUGACAGCGAGGACCAUGGAUCUGACCCCCUUUAGCUGUGCACAGCCUCAAACAGCCGGGGACACUCAGUGGGCCUAGGGCUGUGUGCAAAUGGCCACCCUCACAGAUUCUCACAAACACAUACACACUCGUACGGCCUUUCGAAAAAACCAACAUGGGGAGUUCCCACCACAGCGCAGUGGAUGAAGAAUCCUCCUGCGGCGGCUCGGGUGGUUGCGGAGGCAUGGGUUCCAUCCCCUGCCAAGCGCAGUUGAGUUAAUGGAUCAAGCAUUGCCACAGCUGCAGCUCAGAUUCCACCUGGGCAAGAGCACGUCCACAGGCACAGGUGCAGCCAUCAAAUUAAGAAACAACAAUAACGACAAAAAAAAUGGAAGUAAUCCGCAAAAUUCAAAACCCAAUUCCCCCUUGGACUCUAUCAUACAAAAUAUUAAGAAGUGUGCACAGAAACACGUGGCCAAGGCUCACUCGGUGUGCUUUGUAAAAACCAGCCUUCCUCACAAUUACCCAACGAGAGAACCAUUUAGCCGUCUUUAUACACACUAUGGGACAUAAUUUACCAUGAAAAAAUUGAGUAGAUGUAUACAGAUAAGAUAUCACGGACAAAUUAAGAGGAAAAAGUUGCAGAUGGGGUAACCCGAUCCAAUUAACGUCAGAAUAAGAAAAACAAAGGCCGACCGCGUGUGAAGAGGCACAGAGACAUGCUGCAGGUGAAGCUGAGCGGCACAGUCAGAGGCGGGAGGGCAAUGCUGAGCCCCCGCUGGGGCAGGGGUGUCAAAGAGGAAGCAGGAGGUCAACGCCAGUCUGACCUGCACCACGAUUAUUAGGGGGGGUUUCUGAUAACAUUCUAGCGUCUUUUAAGGUUUUUUUUAAGCUGCAGAGUCGGCAGGAUGUUUCCUGACACGCCUACAAUGCGGAGAAGGACUGACUCAGUGGUCCGACUGGGGACAUUUUUAAAGUCUCUGAGUGGCGUAUGUCACCCGACUAAGCACCUUCCAGCCUCACUUGCGUCCUCAGAUGAGGUAUGAACAACAAGUCAGUGCCCGCACAUUAAGCAUCCCUUCGUCUCUUGAGCCAAGGCUUAUGCCAAAGCCCACUGUAAAGCCGAACGCAGGCUCUCCCAGAACCUGCAGGGGUGCCUUAAGCCUGUAAGGAAUUCCUCACAUCACUCUUGACUCAGAAGAGUUUUGCCUGGUGAGUAACACCACGGUUGAGGAACGAGCCAGAAAAGGACAAUGACGCCGCUUCCUCGUCCCCGAAAACCUCGAGUCAAGGUUUAAGCCCCUCACCUGUUUUUUAUCAUGUCCCAGCUGCUGCUCAGUGUCCGUACUUUGUAACUGAUGGGGCUGGAGGAGGGCGGAGGUAACGAGAACGAGUUUUCAAUACCAUGUGAUAUGGAAAAAAUGGUGAGCGAUUUAGAGAGAGCACAAAAAGAUGCAAAUCCCCUCAAAAAGACCGAGUAUGAUGUUGUCUUUGUCGGCCCUGCCAGACCCCAGGGUCCAGCACUAAACACCCACACAGCUGCUUCAUCUCAGAUGUCCAGGGCACCAAAGAGCCGGCGAUGGAACCCCACGGGCGCUUUCUUUGCCCUGCUGUGUAUCGCCAGCUCUGAGCACUUAAAAAGUGCCAAUUACCUCGGUAAUUUUUAGGUCUACUCCUCCUUUAAAAGGUGAUGAGGAGAGACCCGGAAGUUACUGUGAAAUACGUUAACAAAUGUAAAAAGAACCAUUGCCAAGCCCAACCCCCACAGCGAGGAAUGAGGCUCUGGAUGGACCUGAAAACAGAAUGCACUGCCAAGCAGUCACUGCCUCGCCAGACCUUAGAGGGGACAUUCCACGUGACGUUAACAGGACCUGCACACAUGCGACACCAAAGUGAUCAGGAGCAACCUUUCUUCAAGAAUGGGAGGUCUUGGAGUUCCCGGUGUGGCUCAGCAGUUACGGAACCUGACUAGCAUCCAUGAGGAUACAGGUUCAAUCCCUGGCCUCGCUCAGUGGGUUAAGGAUCCUACGUGGCUGUGGUUGUGGUAUGGGCCUGCAGCUACAGCUCUGAUCAGACCCCUAGCCUGGGAACCUCCACGUGCCGUGGGUGCGCCCCCCAAAAAAAAGACAAAAAAAGAAGUGAGGUCUCUGUCCAUCUGAAGUUUUCUCACAUUUUACACGACAGGCAAAAUACCUGACAUUUCAUAUUCAGUCCUGAACUUGAGGCAAAAGUCAUGGAAACAAAGGGAGGGCACAGCUUAAAUAAAAUAACCCCAGGGAUGUAAUGGAAAGAUAAACAGUGUCUGUACAGAGGGGUCUGCAGCUCACCCAGCCAAGCCUUCAAACUGAAAUGCAUCCUUUCGAGUGUGAGCUCUACGAAGACAAGCUCAAGAGUCCCAUGGUCGUGAUGCUUGAAGCGUAACACUUGAUAAAGACAAUGUGAAGCCCAUUUCAGUUACCGCCCCGAACGUUCCUCGGUAACUCACAACACGGCAUCAAAAGCACGUCUAGGGCUCAACGUCAUACUCUUAGGUGCAUCACACUGCGGCGAAAACAAUUUUCUAAACGCUAACGAGAGAGGCGUACCUUCCCGCAAAGCCGGGUCCUCGCGCAGCCCCGCCCACCCCGCUUUAUCCUGCUCUCUGAUUGGCCACUCGCCCCAGCUGGGGUCCUACCAGAACCAACCCUCUUCCCCGCUGAAUCCUUCCCAAGUGAUUCUUUGCAAACGGUCCCUGGGAGGAAUCUCCCUUGGCCCUGUCCCCAUCCUCAAAAUGAGUCAGGUUCGGGAUGCUCCCAAGCUUUAGGGUGAAGGCUGUGGCUGGGAUGGUUUGUCUAGAGAAACCCUGUGACAGAAAACCCUAGGGCCCUGGUAUGAUGAUUUACGCGCGCCUCACCCCACCCCAGGGAGAAGCGGUCGGACACACACACACACACACACACACACACACGCUGCGCGUUACCGCUGAUGAUCCUUUCUAGAACUAUUUACGCACCUGUUUCCAUUCUUUGCUCGCCGUCAAUUGGCAGCAGGCUCCUAGCGGAGAUGGCCCUUAAUUUGGAUUGUUGAGAAGUGAAAGAGAGCCAGGGCCCUUUGCCGGCCACCUACAGCCGUCAUCACUUACUGACCCUCCUUCUCUUCCCAAGUCUCGGCUGUAUUUCACCCCUGCAGAAUUCCUUAAACUUGUGCUCCCGAUUAAACACAACGGUCCUAAAGCAAGUGAUCCUGUUGUCUUCAUUUUCCCGGAGGCGGCACAAGAUCAAUGCUUGCACUAAAUAUAUCGCCGUCAAUGGAAGAAAACCACUCACUGGCGGUUCCUGUUGACUGUUGCCUGCGUGCACACAGCGCAGGCUCUGUAACCGGGACCUCGGAGAUUUUGAAAUAAAACUUACAGUUACCAUAGGGCAAACCAUGGUGGGGAGGGCUAAAUUAGGAGGAUGGGAUUGAAAUAUACACAUGACUAUACAGAAAAUAGGUAACUAACAAGGCUCUAUGGUACAGCACAGAGAGGUCCACUCCGUGUUUGGCAAUAACCUAUAGGGGAAAAAGAAUGGAUAUAUGUACAUGUAUAAGUGAUUCACUUUGCUGUACACCUGAUAUUAAGACAACAUUGUAAGUCAACUACACGCCAAUAAAAAACCUAUUUUUUAUAAUGUUAUUUAUUUUGUAUUUUUUUAGGGCUACGCCUGAGGUGGUGCAGCUAGGGGUCGAAUCGGAGCUGCAGCUGCUAGCCCAUGCCACGGCCAUGCUACCACCAGACCUGAGCGGUGUCUGAGACCUACACCACACCUCAUGGCAACGCCGGAUCCGUAACCCACUGAGCGAGGUCAGGAAUCGACCCUGUGUCCUCAUGGAUCCCAGUCAGAUUCGUUUCUGAUGAGCCACAAUGGGAACUCCAAAACAAAUGUUUUGAAUGUCAGUAUAACUUGGCCAAGAUCACGGAGCUAGAAUGUGACAAAAUCUUGCCCAGACCAAGACGCCAGGACCCAGGGCCGGGCAUCUGGGGGGUGGGGGAGGAAGGUCACUAGGUGAUCAGGGCACCCAGAAGACAGAGAGCCGGUUACACCAGCAGGCAGAGGGAAGGGAAUGCUGGGUCCAGCUUAAACUGGGAAAGACAACUCACACCUGCCUCCAGAAACGGCCACAACUACAUGGAAAACGGAGCACAGAAGGUCCCAAGGGACCAAGACGUGCUCCUGAGACACGUGGACAGGCACCAAAUGCCCUGCCUUUGUGACGACAGUACCGGUAAAGGCCAUCACUUCGUCUGGAAUCCAGGGUGGUCCAGGUUGGGGGCCCCGUGGUGGCCCCACGCAGGAGGGGUGCCCCAGACCUCACUCGGCGGCAAGGAACACAGGUCACAGGUCACAGCACGGCUCUGGGAGCUGCUGCUCUCAAGGUCUUUGACUUGUGUGUGUCUCCCGGGAAGAAGCCAGGGCUUCUAGUGUCUGCCACGAAUAAAAGUACACAGUGAAGUGACAAGAAACCAUUCGGCCACUCAUCGUAAAUAUCAGUGAAGUCGGCCACUCUGCAAGAAUGACUGACAGCUCGUGCUCUUCCUGGGCAAUUUACAUCACGAGAUACAAGCAGUUCAGCAAAGAAUGACCAUGGUGGCCCCCCCAGGGGGCUGGCAUCUGCCCACUUUGAGAGAUGGGGGUGGGGGAUAAGCCAGACCCUAAGAUUUCGGGAAAGGCGAUAAGCAGACAGCAGAUGCCCAGAGUCCGCGCAUAGUCUCAGCUUGCUGCCGUGGAUUCGGGGUGACCAUAUAACCGAGCUGGGCCCUGGGGGGGUUCCUGGGCACAAAAGCCUUUCUGGGUCCCCCGUUUCUUGUUGUUAGGAAACGGGCCUCAUUCAGCCUCCAUGCCCUUCCCUGAGCUCCAAGGGGCAGGUUUUGGGUGUUGCUGAUCACGGAAGGGGGUGGGGGUGGGGGGCAGAGACCAGGGAGGAGCCGUCAACAAACAGCAGCGCAGCUUUGGGGCAGGGUCCUGGUUCCCCCUCAAGGGAUGCAGUCAUGAUGGAGGCAUCCUGUGCACCUCAGAGAAAAGUGCUCGUCCUGCCGCUGCUUCUAGAAAUGAGCAGCUUAAAUACUUUAAAACGGAACAGCUGGGAGCCCCGCCUUGUGCGCCCCCCUGGCUUCGUCGCCCCCUAAACACAAUCACCUGCGCGCUGAAGAUGAGGCGCCCGGAGCACAAUGGCCUGUGAGUUAAAGAUGAAAAGCAUGGGACGUUUUUUCAGGAACAUUCCUAGUUUGUUCAAAUCUCUGAUCAAUAUGCCCUUUUCACAAGUACUGUUAUUCUAGGCAAUAACCCAGAAGCCCACCGCCAGGCUCACGCCGAGAUCCCCUGACACCAGCUUCCAUGACUAAGAUUCCCCCAAAGGAAGAAAGACGCAUGUCUGCCCCAAGCCUGAGUCUUACCUGAAACCCUGUUUUUCUCCUUUUACAACUCCCUGCAGUUCUUCCCCAAGGGGGGGCACGGCCUUUAAGGCAUGAGCCUGCUGGGGCCUCCUUUGCCUGGCAAAGCAAUCGAGUUAUUUUUUCUCCUUCACCCAAAACUCAGUCUGCACAUUUCAUUUCGGCACAAGUGGACAAAGGCUGAGUUUUGCAACAAUGAGAGGAAGGCCCCAGAGCUCUCCCACCACAGACCUGCCCCGGAUUCUUCGAGAGAUCAUCUGAAAUCUGUAGAUGAACUUUUAUAAGAGACAUGGGGCUCAGCUGGGGAUGGGGGAGGCAGGGCAGCACAAACAAACCCAGAGAGGGAAAACUCUCACGUUUUACCAUCUGCAGGUGGCCAGUGACCUUCCAGGCCCAGCACGCAGCAAAGCUCCAGGCUUUAAUUGGAAUUUGCAUCGUGGUGAUACAAUCUCAGGGUAUCCCAAUCCCUCCUUUCACAAAUACUGAUUUUCUGCAGCAGAUACGGUGACCAAAACC
rnacentral:lncRNA from 1 species